UACAUGGGGUGCAAACGUUGCUCGGAAUUAUUGGGCGUAAAGCGCGCGUAGGCGGUUACUCAAGUCGGAUGUGAAAGCCCUCGGCUUAACUGAGGAAGUGCACCCGAAACUGAGUAGCUAGAGUACCAAAGAGGGUCGCGGAAUUCCCGGUGUAGAGGUGAAAUUCGUAGAUAUCGGGAGGAACACCGGUGGCGAAGGCGGCGACCUGGGUGGAUACUGACGCUCAUGCACGAAAGCGUGGGGAGCAAACAGG
rnacentral:rRNA from 1 species